AUCGAACGCUGGCGGCAGGCCUAACACAUGCAAGUCGAACGAGUGGCGGACGGGUGAGUAAUGACUGGGAAACUGCCUGAUGGAGGGGGAUAACUACUGGAAACGGUAGCUAAUACCACAUACCAUCAGAUGUGCCCCGAUGGGAUUAGCUAGUUGGUGGGGUAACGGCUCACCAAGGCGACGAUCCCUAGCUGGUCUGAGAGGAUGACCAGCCACAUGGGAACUGAGACACGGUCCAGACUCCGACGGGAGGCAGCAGUGGGGAAUAUUGCACAAUGGGCGCAAGCCUGACGCAGCCAUGCCGCGUGUAUGAAGAAGGCCUUCGGGUUGUAAAGUACUUUCAGCGGGGAGGCGUUAUCCGCAGAGGAAGCACCGGCUAACUACGUGCCAGCAGCCGCGGUAAUUC
rnacentral:rRNA from 1 species